rnacentral:rRNA from 1 species
AACUGUCUCAGCUUUSUGUGCUGAAAGAUGUCCUCGCGUCUGAUUAGAUAGUUGGUGGGGUAACGGCCCACCAAGUCGACGAUCAGUAGCCGGUCUGAGAGGAUGAACGGCCACAUUGGGACUGAGAUACGGCCCAGACUCCUACGGGAGGCAGCAGUGGGGAAUAUUGGGCAAUGGGGGAAACCCUGACCCAGCAACGCCGCGUGAAGGAAGAAGGCCUUCGGGUUGUAAACUUCUUUUAGCAGGGACGAAGGACGUGACGGUACCUGCAGAAAAAGCAACGGCUAACUACGUGCCAGCAGCCGCGGUAAUACGUAGGUUGCAAGCGUUGUCCGGAUUUACUGGGUGUAAAGGGCGUGUAGGCGGAGAUGCAAGUUGGGAGUGAAAUCCCGGGGCUCAACCCCGGAACUGCUUUCAAAACUGCAUCCCUUGAGUAUCGGAGAGGCAAGCGGAAUUCCUAGUGUAGCGGUGAAAUGCGUAGAUAUUAGGAGGAACACCAGUGGCGAAGGCGGCUUGCUGGACGACAACUGACGCUGAGGCGCGAAAGCGUGGGGAGCAAACAGGAUUAGAUACCCUGGUAGUCCACGCUGUAAACGAUGAAUACUAGGUGUGGGAGGACUGACCCCUUCCGUGCCGCAGUUAACACAAUAAGUAUUCCACCUGGGGAGUACGACCGCAAGGUUGAAACUCAAAGGAAUUGACGGGGGCCCGCACAAGCAGUGGAUUAUGUGGUUUAAUUCGACGCAACGCGAAGAACCUUACCAGGACUUGACAUCCAACUAACGAAGUAGAGAUACAUUAGGUGCCCUUCGGGGAAAGUUGAGACAGGUGGUGCAUGGUUGUCGUCAGCUCGUGUCGUGAGAUGUUGGGUUAAGUCCCGCAACGAGCGCAACCCCUAUUGUUAGUUGCUACGCAAGAGCACUCUAGCGAGACUGCCGUUGACAAAACGGAGGAAGGCGGGGACGACGUCAAAUCAUCAUGCCCCUUAUGUCCUGGGCUACACACGUAAUACAAUGGCCGUCAACAAAGGGAAGCAAUACUGCGAAGUGGAGCAAAUCCCCAAWAACGGUCUCAGUUCGGACUGCAGGCUGCUAUUGGCU